rnacentral:rRNA from 1 species
UACGUAGGGUGCGAGCGUUAAUCGGAAUUACUGGGCGUAAAGCGUGCGCAGGCGGUCCGUUGUGUCCGAUGUGAAAGCCCCGGGCUUAACCUGGGAAUGGCAUGGGAAACUGGCGGGCUGGAGUGUGGCAGAGGGGGGUGGAAUUCCGCGUGUAGCAGUGAAAUGCGUAGAGAUGCGGAGGAACACCGAUGGCGAAGGCAGCCCCCUGGGCCAACACUGACGCUCAGGCACGAAAGCUAGGGGAGCGAACAGG